GUAGGAGAAAUUGCUGAUGCUUUAUCAAGAAAGAAAAUGUGGGAUAACACUGUGUUCUUAUUCAUGAGUGAUCACGGUGCUGCAGUUAUGCCAAACAACUGUUGGGACACUAUUGGUGGGAGUAACCUACCUUACAGGGACGGAAAAGGUUCAUAUUUCGAGGGAGGUAUAAAAAGUGCUGCUUUUAUCUGGACUCCAUGGUUAACUGAUGAACAAAGAGGA